UACGUAGGCAGCGAGCGUUGUUCGGAGUUACUGGGCGUAAAGCGUGCGCAGGCGGUUUUGUAAGUUUGUCGUGAAAGCCCCGGGCUCAACCUGGGAAUUGCGAUGAAGACUGCAAGGCUUGAAUCUGGCAGAGGGGGGUAGAAUUCCACGUGUAGCAGUGAAAUGCGUAGAGAUGUGGAGGAACACCGAUGGCGAAGGCAGCCCCCUGGGUCAAGAUUGACGCUCAUGCACGAAAGCGUGGGGGAGCAAACAGG
rnacentral:rRNA from 1 species